rnacentral:rRNA from 1 species
AAACCGUUCAGGGGUAAACCUGAGAAACCCAAAAGAUCGAAGGGGGAGAUUCAACGUCAGCGGCAAGUCGGCUUCCAUGCGGCGCGCGAUGUCCGGGGCUUCGGCUCCGCGGCACGCCGUCGCCGUGGUCAUGUCCGGCGCCGUCGGCGUGCACUUCUCCCCUUGUAGAACGUCGCGACCCGCUGGGUGUCGGCCUACGGCUCGGGCGGUAGCCUGCGGCGCGUUGCUUUACGGCGCGCGUCCAGACCCCCGUACGCCCGGCCGGCUGCCCGGCGGUACACGCACGGUAUCGGGUCGCACACUGCCAGAUGUGCGUCGGGCCCGUCGCAAGCGCGGCCAUGCGAUACUCGGUGGUUCGGAAUUCAAAGCCGUCCCCGAGCCUGGCACGCUGUUGGUCGACGGUGUCCUCCGACUGGCCCGCCCGCCUCGCGCGGGCACGAAAUACCGGUCGGCGACGCUACUGCUUUGGGUACUUUCAGGA